UACGAAGGGGGCUAGCGUUGUUCGGAAUUACUGGGCGUAAAGCGCACGUAGGCGGACAUUUAAGUCAGGGGUGAAAUCCCGGGGCUCAACCCCGGAACUGCCUUUGAUACUGGGUGUCUAGAGUAUGGAAGAGGUGAGUGGAAUUCCGAGUGUAGAGGUGAAAUUCGUAGAUAUUCGGAGGAACACCAGUGGCGAAGGCGGCUCACUGGUCCAUUACUGACGCUGAGGUGCGAAAGCGUGGGGAGCAAACGGG
rnacentral:rRNA from 1 species